UACAGAGGGUGCAAGCGUUAAUCGGAAUUACUGGGCGUAAAGCGCGCGUAGGCGGCGUGUUAAGCCAGAUGUGAAAGCCCCGGGCACAACCUGGGAAUGGCAUUUGGAACUGGCAGGCUAGAGUGCAGGAGAGGAAGGUAGAAUUCCCGGUGUAGCGGUGAAAUGCGUAGAGAUCGGGAGGAAUACCAGUGGCGAAGGCGGCCUUCUGGACUGACACUGACGCUGAGGUGCGAAAGCGUGGGUAGCAAACAGG
rnacentral:misc_RNA from 1 species